GUGUCAGCCGCCGCGGUAAUACGAAGGUGGCUAGCGUUAUUCGGUAUCACUGGGCGUAAAGGGUGUGUAGGCGUCCCGGUAAGUCUCUGGUGAAAGCCUUCCGCUCAACGGAAGAAUUGCCAGAGAUACUGUCGGGAUUGAGUCCGGGAGAGGGGAGCGGAAUUCCUGGUGUAGCGGUGAAAUGCGUAGAUAUCAGGAAGAACGCCAGAGGCGAAGGCGGCUCCCUAGCCCGGUACUGACGCUGAGGCACGAAAGCGUGGGGUGCGAACGGGAUUAGAUACCCCGGUAGUCCACGCCCUAAACGAUGGAUGCUAGGUGUUGGAUCCGAGAGGAUUCAGCGCCGAAGCUAACGCGUUAAGCAUCCCGCCUGGGGACUACGGCCGCAAGGCUGAAACUCAAAUGAAUUGGCGGGG
rnacentral:rRNA from 1 species